AGGAUCAUUCGCAAUGGGCGCAAGCCUGACGAUGCGACGCUGCGUGGAGGAUGGAGGCCCUCGGGUCGUAAACUCCUGUCAUGCGGGAAAAAGCUCCCGGUUCCGAACAGGCUCCGGGGCGGAUGGUACCGCAAGAGGAAGGGGCGGCUAACUCUGUGCCAGCAGCCGCGGUAAUACAGAGGCCCCCAGCGUUGUUCGGAUUUACUGGGCGUAAAGGGCGCGCAGGCGGCCGCGUGUGUCGGGCGUGAAAUCUCCGGGCUCAACCCGGAAAGUGCGCUCGAAACUGCGGGGCUGGAGCGGGGGAGGGGAGAGCGGAACACAUGGUGUAGCGGUGAAAUGCGUUGAUAUCAUGUGGAACACCGGUGGCGAAGGCGGCUCUCUGGAACCUGGCUGACGCUGAGGCGCGAAAGUCGGGGGAGCAAACA
rnacentral:rRNA from 1 species